rnacentral:tRNA from 1 species
GCGGCCGUCGCCCAGUCUGGUAGGGCGCCGUGCGCUUUUACGCCGGAGGACCCGGGUUCGAAUCCCGGCGGCCGCACCA